rnacentral:RNase_P_RNA from 1 species
AGGUGAACAGGCGAUCGCGUGCCCCCGUGGGCAUGAGGAAAGUCCGGGCACCGCAGAGCAAGGGUGCCGGCUAACGGCCGGCGGAGGCGACUCCAGGGAGAGUGCAACAGAAACAAACCGCCGGGAACUCCGGCGGACGGGUCUCCGGAUCCGUCCCCGCCCGGUAAGGAUGGAAAGGCGAGGUAAGAGCUCACCCGCGGGCCUGGCAACUUGUCCGCGCUGUAAACCCCACCCGGUGCAAGAUGCGGGAUUUCGUCGGUUGCUCGCCGCAUAUCCCGCGAUCGCUCGAUCCCUUCGGCAACGAUGGGACUGGAUAGAUGAUCGCUUUAUACAGAACCCGGCUUAUGGUCACGCUC